UACGUAGGGAGCAAGCGUUGUCCGGAAUCAUUGGGCGUAAAGCGCGCGUAGGUGGCCUCAUAAGUCCGUUGUGAAAGUCAAAGGCUCAACCUUUGAAAGCCGAUGGAUACUGUGAGACUAGAGUACGGAAGAGGCGAGUGGAAUUCCUGGUGUAGCGGUGGAAUGCGCAGAUAUCAGGAGGAACACCAAUAGCGAAGGCAGCUCGCUGGGACGUUACUGACACUGAGGCGCGAAAGCGUGGGGAGCGAACGGG
rnacentral:rRNA from 1 species